AAGAUUACCGACAAGAAGUUAGCAGAUAACAAAACAAAUGGGCAUCGUGGACUUCGACAUCUAAAGCAGAACAAAAAAAAGAGGGUGUAGGUUAGUUAAACAGUCAUUAAUAAGAAACAACGCGGUUCUUAUGACAUCAAAAACAAAAACAUUCAUAAGCGUGUGAUGAAAUUUAAUGAAGUUAACAGCGAUGUAAGCCAAAUUAUGUACGAGUUCCAACAUCAGAUCCGGGAUCCCAAAGAACUGGUGGAGUUUGCAAAAGAUGUAGUCAAGUCUUCGGUAGAAGUUGAGAAUAGUCAAAAAAAAGUUAACGGUUCAAUAAAUGUUCCUGCGGCAGACACAAAUGAGUGAGACCCGCGUAGGGGAAGAACACGUGUA